ensembl:lncRNA
GAAUUAUUGAGUGUUGUCCCAUGUUUUAGCAGCAGCUACUGCUGCUGCUAAGUUGCUUCAGUCGUGUCCCACUCUGUGAGACCCCAUAGACGGCAGCCUACCAGGCUCCUCUGUCCCCGGGAUUCUCCAGGUGAGAAUACUGGAGUGGGUUGCCAUUUCCUUCUCCAAUACAUGAAAGUGAAAAGUGAAAGUGGAGUCGCUCAGUCGUGUCCAACUCUUCGCGACCCCAUGGGCUGUAGCCUACCAGGCUCCUCCGUCCAUGGGAGUUUCCAGGAAAGAGUCCUGAAGUGGGUUGCCACUGCCUUCUCUGAGCACCAGCCUACAAAGAAUUUGGAUGAGCCUUCAAGCGUCUUUAAGAUGCAGUAAGUUGAAUAAAUCUCCCAGAGAAAUAUCGGGUGUGCCUCUCAUGUGUUCAAUGUAUCAAAUUCUCCCUUUGCUUUCUCCAUCUCAUGCUGUCCCAUUUAUUUAUGCUUUCCUACAACUGAGGGGAAAUAGCAAUUUCAGUCACUUGGAGGACAGUUUAUUUUGUGUGGCAGUAUCUCUAGGAGCUGGCAUGCUCUAGAAGUGAAAAAUAUUUCCUUUGAUGUUCUCAAGAUGGUGGCUUGUAGGGUUCCAAGGCAGAGGCUGGCAUGUAAUAUUACAGCAUUUUGGAGGCAGGCCCAUUGUCAUUUUCACCUUGCAAGGCUAAUCCAGGCCACUUUGUUCAGAGCCGUUCUUUAUUAGCAGACAUUAGACCUUGACCUCUUAAGGAUGCUCUGGGAAAUUGAUUUUAACAAUCUACUAAAGAGAGGAAUCAUCCCAAUACCCACCACAGGCAGUGACACAGAUAUACUUUCAGCAGCAAAAAGGGAAACCAAAUCCCGAACAGUGGCCACUCCAGCUACAGCCCAGAGAAAUGAACUGACAGCUAUGGGAAGAGGAUGUCCAAACCGAUGUGCCUGCUGGAACUGAAUGGAGCACCUUGUGGAGUGAUGGUAACAAACCAACUACAAGCCGCCUGGGGUUUACGAGGACCAGCUGUUCACACGAAAGGAGAGGAAUCAAAUAAAAUACUGAAAAGGGAAGGAGGGAAAUAGGGGGAACAUGCCACGAGUUUUCUUCCCGUGAAGAGGAGAUGUGAGCUGUAACCUGUAGCAGGAAGUGGCACCUGGCUGCUGAAAACACUGAGAUGACAGUGAAUCUGGAAGCCCAUGCUCCC